rnacentral:rRNA from 1 species
UACGUAGGUGGCAAGCGUUGUUCGGAAUUAUUGGGCGUAAAGGGCGCGUAGGCGGUUUGUUAAGUCAGCUGUGAAAGCCCGGGGCUCAACCCCGGAGGGUCAGCUGAUACUGGCAGGCUAGAGUACAGAAGAGGUAACUGGAAUUCCCGGUGUAGCGGUGAAAUGCGUAGAGAUCGGAAAGAACACCAACGGCGAAAGCACUCUGCUGGGCCGACACUGACACUGAGAGACGAAAGCUAGGGGAGCGAAUGGG